UACGGAGGGUGCAAGUGUUAUUCGGAAUCACUGGGCGUAAAGAGCACGUAGGCGGAUAGGUAAGUCAGAUGUGAAAUCCCGGGGCUCAACUUCGGAACUGCAUUUGAUACUGCCUGUCUUGAGUGUGGUAGAGGUGGAUGGAAUUCCCGGUGUAGAGGUGAAAUUCGUAGAUAUCGGGAGGAACACCAGAGGCGAAGGCGAUCCACUGGGCCACUACUGACGCUGAGGUGCGAAAGCGUGGGGAG
rnacentral:rRNA from 1 species